rfam:Spinacia oleracea cultivar SynViroflay scaffold10713.con0005.1, whole genome shotgun sequence.
GGCCAAGAUGAUUAACGCUUUAUUUCUGACACCUCUUGUAUGAGAAGUACUUAGGUACUUCACUGAGCAGAUUAUGCAACAUUCUGAGCC